rnacentral:sRNA from 1 species
CCCCAACCCUCCCCGACCUUCUUUAUUUCGCUUAGCCUUCUGUAUGCGGCCGACCAUUUGUUGUGGUUAUUAUUAUGGUUGAUUUAGUGGCCACAAAUUGAAUGAAUUGUCUUAUUUAACCGAAAUAAGCAAUAUCGCAUAAGUUUGUCUUCCUUUUUUUUUUUAAAUUCAAUAAUCCCGCCAAAGUGCGUCGUUCCUCAAAUCAGAUUAAACCCAAGACGAAGACGAUGGCGAUGGCGAUGGCGAAGUCGAAGGAUGUGGAAGGCGAACGAAACUCGGCGGAAAUGACAGACGCAGCUCUCAAUUGAAUUAAUUAAUGCCCAGCCGAUGAAAGGGAGUCGAGGAAAUUAAGCUGGCGAACAGCAGGCGAAAAUGUUGACAGCCCGACAUAUCGCGGAAAAUAUUUAAAUAAAGUCGUAAUUAAAUGCAUAGCGUUCCCAGCCACCAAUCCGCAUACCACCCAUGCAAUCCCUUCACUCUGAAAGUUGAGCAACAGUUGGAAUAGCACGGAAAUCGCGCAUACGACGACAUCUGAAGCUAAAGGAUGAUGAGUGUUCAAGUGGUUGACGAUAUCUACAUGCAUACAUUAUGUGACUACGCACAACUUUCACAAUUAGAAAAUUAAAAGUACACAGCGAGGAAUUGGGAGUGCACAAGUGUGAUAAAUACUCAAUAUAUCCUUCUAUACAUAAGGCUCAAGUGCUUAAAAGUAUGCAGCAAUAUUUUUCAUGCAACAAAAUACAGUGUUGCAUACUUUUAAGCACCUUUGUUAAUAACUUCGACUACGUGCGCCCAUUUAAAUGUAUUAAUUACUUCUACUUUAAAGUUUCUUUGUCGGUAUGUGUGUACAUUUCACCCGAAACAGUGAGUUCAAGUGCUCCAGUGCCAUAAUUAAUUACAUCGUUCCACGAAAAACAGCGAGCAAGUAGCAAAGCCUCUUAGUCCUUUGUUCGAGUGUACCGCCUCCGAUAAACACACUCAAACACAAUGGCUAACAAUUUGUUGCGUUCUGCAGACUUACUUGGCAAGCUGUUGGCAAUUUCAACCGCCGCCACGAGGAUCUCUUCAUUUCCACAGUCGCCAAAACAGAACAGAAACAGAAACAGGAACCCAAGCCCCAACCAAAACCGAGACCAAAAACCAAAAACCAAGCUGCGAAGCCUCCAAUGGGAGCCACGUUGAGUGCUAAAUGGCGGGGAGUUGUUCUCAGCGGACUCCACACUCAAUCCCCUGCAGCACGCAGGCAUAUUAAAAUAUUUAAUUACCAUGUAAACUUACGACUUUUGUUUUUGUUAUUGUUUUAAUUGUGACAACAACUGUCAUAAUAAUGAAUAUGAUGAUGUUUGCCACGCGGCAAGUCCCCAAUACUCCCCAUUGCGCCCCCUUUCACCCUUUCCCCCUUUCCAAAAGUGCACAACGCAUGGCGAACAUGAUACGGAAUUGCGUAAGCGGCUGCGAAUAUUGCGCGUAGGGAGGAGUAGGGGGGAGGAGCGGCAGCAGGAUGAAAAAGGACGAGCGCAUAGCAAAGCUUUAUUACAUUUCCCGCGCGUGUAUCUGUGUAUCUGUGUGUGUGUGUGGGUGAUUCAUGGCACAUAUGUCUCGGUGGUUGAUGGUGUAGGAAGAAGUGAGCUUUGGCGGUUUUCUAAGAAUUGUCUGCCGCCUUUCAACACAUUGAGUUGUUUGCUCUGGUGCGCGCUCCAUGGUCCCAGGACCUCCAAUUUUCCCCACCGCGCACGCGGCUCCUUGCAUGUUAUUUGAAUUUUAAUUGCAAACUUUUGUUGCAUACUUUUGGCGUGGAUUUAUUUUAUGGUCGAGAAGCUCUGCUUGGCUCCUUACUUCCUCGCCUCCGACCGUCUGUUUAAUUAAAAAUGCUUUGCGGUCUCCCCCCCAGCAUUUUUCCCCUUCGGCAGUGCAUUUUCAUUGUUCUGGCCAGGUGUUUCCGGGAAAUUAAGGGAAAAUGUCACGCGAAUGAUACCAAUUCGAAAUGCUAUUAUCUAAGCGGAAGGUACUCAUUAAAAUCGCUCUCAACUAGAUUGAAAGUACGCACACAAAACAGUCAAAACUAAUUUAUAAAAAAUGGUUUUUAAAAAUCAAAAUGAAGCUUAACUUUAUACUGCGCACCAUUCAAAAUAUUUCCGCUCUCAAAUGGGGACAGUUUUCGCCUGGCCACAGCUACCUUGCUCUACCCUCUAAUUACAGCUAUUAGAGCUGAAUGGUGCCCAUUUUGUUUGCUCAGUGGAACUAAUUAGUUUGCCUUCGCCUGCUUAUUGACUGACCCCCAUCCCAGGACAGACUCCGUUUUCAGGGCCAGUUCGAGGAUGAGAUUUUUCAAUUGACAUUGUCAAUGGCGGGAUGCUUUCUGCAAGGAUGCCUUGCUACAAGGGGCACCGUUUUUUUUAUUCUUUCGUAGCUCUGCUAUUUAGUAUGCGGCACACAAUGCACAUAAAACAUUAAUAAAGCUUGUUGUCCUUUUCGGAUGGCUGCGUGUCCGUGCCUCCCCAUCUUGAGCGAGCCCUUGUCAUUACCAGGACACGGCCCACGUCCUUUGCCAGCUCCAACCGCCCCCCUGCCCCUUUAUCCCAUCGUAAGCAUAUGCUUAGCAUAAAUUCGGAGAACUCGGUUUUGGUAUGCAAGUGAUGCUGAGCUGAUGAUACUUGAAGGAGCUGCGGCAGACAACUUUGAUUUGGGCCCGUGCUUAAAGCGUGGCGUGGCUUAAUUAAAAUAAAAAAGAUUCUAAAACCAAACAGAGCUUUUAAAGUUUGACGUUUUCCUUAUUUUCCAUUAUAUUUUCGAGUCAAUUAUUAACGGGCAGUUCACUUGGCCAUGCUUCAUACAACAUAAUUCAGUCAUAUAAAAUUUGUCUAGCGUAAAAUUAGAAAUGCUGCAGGAAGCGGGCGUAACAAGGACGCGGCAGACGCUGCGUAAUUAAAAUGGGAAAAAAUCAUAGCACACUUUUCAGGGCACCGCCAUUGAUAUGCUGAUGAGACUGAAAAUCGUCCUGCGAGGCGAGGAACUCGGCACUCGGAACUCGCAACUGGGAGCAGGAGGGGAUCGGAGGGGCCUGACAUUGAAGUGACUGCCUUCAAAAUAGUGGGUGAGCAGCAUGUGCGUAGCCGCGGCGGCAGGAAGCUGCCAGAUUUUGCAUGGAGGAUGUGUGCGGGCGAAAUUGAAAAUGCCGCCUGGCUACAGAUUCCCCUCGAAGCGAAAGGAAACACAAUAUUUGUUCGGAUUAAGUCCCACACACACUGGCACCAUGCAGUUGAAAAGUUAAGGAAACUUAAAAGGAUUCAGCUCUCUACAAGAAUCCUGGUUACUAAGGAUAAUCCGCCUGUUUGAUAGACACUGUGCACCUUCAUUUGGCAGCGUCAAAUCAACACACACACACACACGCAAGUGUGAGAAUGAGCGUGUGUGCGAGAGUUGAUUUUCAAUCGAAGCAGCAGUCAACGGCCCACUUUUCCGGCACACUUCUCUGCCCCUGCAGGAAUGGAACCCCAAAAACCCCUUGGAAAAAACUUAUUUGCCAAGUUUUGCGGUUUUUGAGGUUGACAUGUUGCCGUUUAUGUGACCCAAAGAAGUGAGCAGCUGCUCGACAGCCAUCGCUGAUUAUGAUGAGACCGAGACAGGCCGUUCGGAAAAUCCCUUUUCGUUACAAAUUUGUGCCAAGCUGUCGAAACUUUAUUUAAAAUGGGUAUACCGCCCUUGCCAUGCACUCCCUUUCCUUCCACUCCUUUCCAUUUCGCUUCCGGCGGAAGGGGCUGGCGAUCGAGUGGUAGAUGUGAAAGAAAAAUAAUCGUAUCCUUUGGCUAGAUUUGCAUUUCCUGUCAGGUAAUUACCCGGUGAUAGAGGCAGGCUCCCUCGCCAUUCAACAAAACGAGCCGCUGACUGGGCCCGUCAUCAAUUUCUAGCACCGUUCUAAUUAAAGAUAGGCAUCAAACAUGCAAACUGCUGAGCUGAAUGCCAGGCAGCGGAACUACGGACAACGAACUCGAAAGGAUUCCACACACAUGUAUUGGUACAUGUGCAUGUGGGUGUGUGUUGGUGUGAGUUGGUGUAGGUGUGUGCAUAUGAGUUGCGAUGUCGAGUGCGCUUUGUAAUUGAUUUGCUGGCACUUUGUUGUUUGCCAAAGGUCGGUCACCGGGGGCGGGGGAAAGCUGCGGGCGGAAUUUAAUAAAUAUGAAAACAUCAAAUUAUUUCAAAUGCCUGAACUAUCUUGUCUGCCGGGUCCGUCCAUCUGUCUGCGCGUCUAGCUGACUGACAAGCACGGAAAAUAUGCUUUCCAGGGGCGGGGAAGGGGGCUUGCUGUUCCAUGGCGGUGGUGGCCUCCUGACUUUUGCAUAAUUCUGCAAUUUCUCCACAACAAAUCGCAGUUGAUUGUUUUUGUUUGUGUUCUUUUUUCCCUCUGUUAGUACAUACAUAACUGCAGCCGGCAAAACUGCCUUAAAAUAUGCAACGAAACUUUGCUCAAAGCAUAAAAUAAACUCGGAGCAAUUCCACUUCUGCCGCCCAAAAGGGUGAAGGGAGGGGGGAAUGGGGGGAUGGAGUCCGAAUGGGAAAUGAUUCGGGAGGGGGCAGGGGGUGCGGGAAAAUAGGAAAUCACUGUUUGCGAAAAACAAGCGCUGAAAAUAAAGCUCACCAACACACUCGCAUUAAACUGAAGCGGAAAUGCAAGGCAUUCUUAUGCAUAUCCUCUAAACAACUGCACACAAACACACACACACACACACACACACACUCACAGUGCGACCGUUAUAAAGACACAGAGAGAAAGAGAGGAAGAAAGGGUGCACGGAGAAAGUAGCAGCCAGGAACUGUGCAGCUAACUCGUUUGGGGAAUUGCUGCUGCUUCCUCUGCUGCCACUGCAAAAGGAAUUUUUCAUACGCAAAUUAAAUCUACUUCAAGUCUUCAGCUAUGUGCGCCUCCCCGCCCCGUCGACCACGCCCAUUUCCACGCUGCAGUCGGCGAGAUUUGCAAAUAUUCAUUACAUAAUAAACUAAAUAAAAUGUGAGAAUCCUGCACAGCUCCGAGAUUUCCUGAAGCCCAGCUGGCUCAGUGGCGCACCAGCCGAGGUAGGUUAACAAUCGCAAUCUUCGUGUGGUGCGAGAAUUGUGGUUACGACUUGUAGCCGUUAAAUUAUAUAAGCCUCUUCAUUAGUGUAAACAAUUUUGGUUAAUUCUAGGGAAAAGAAAGCUAGUAUAUAUCUUUUCUAGUAUAUUAAACUUCUCUUUGAAACCGCAGAUCAUUCGUGAGAUUCUGAACAUAUUCUGCUUUUAGAUUAAAAUAUAUAAUAUAAUUAUAUUUUGUUCAAAUAUAAUAUUUUCAAGUUUUAAGUGAUCCAAUCUCAUUUCAGAUUAUAUAAGUAAAAAGAGACACAAUGAGUGCAUUCAGAAUGUUCCCAAAAUCCUCUAAAUUUUAUACAGAAAAUUGAGAAUGAUAUUAAGAAUGUACAAUAUAAACAUAAGGUGGUAUCUAUUACUGCUACGGCAUUCAAAGUUAUUAAGCCAACACUUUGGGGCAACAAAUCAAACUGAAUGGAAUGUUUCUGACUGCUGAAAUAUAUGAAAUCAAUGACACGUAAAAGCUGUAAUUAAACGCACAUUUCUGGGGCACUGUGUUCAAAUUUUGGGUUCCUAGAAGACCAUUUGCACGCGGAAACCAUCGUCAUGUGGGUUGGCCAAGGGUCAUAAACUGGUCUACCUCUCAUAAACACCAGGAGGUUUCCUUUCUCCUUCCCUUCUUGUGGGUUGGCGGAGUAAUCCUGUCUGGUUCUGGUUCUGCUGCUCCUUUUGGGCCAGAUGUAAUUGAAGGGUAGUCAACUUGCUGUAUGAUCUAUGAGUGUAUUCAGAUUGGAGCACCUGGGUACCUGGUUUGUUUAUUUGUUAUAAUGGAGGCCCUCAAAAAUACAUUGAUAUAUGUACACGUUAGUGCGAAAUAUACUCUCACUUUGCUGGCCAAAAUAAAGAAUCUUGAGUAGGAGCCAUUUAUUUGGGUUGCCUAUUUGCAUAAGUUUGGUUACAAUUCGUUUACCACAACAACUCUGUUAGUGAGCUCCAAAAACCACUGUCGAAAAGCAACUCUGGAGUUAACCUCUCAACCCCAAAAAAAAAAACAAUGCCGUGUCCCAACAACAAUGAGUAAUUAUAUUGUAUUUAUACGGUUUAUAUAUGGCGUAUAAUUACCUUGCUUCCCUCCGCUUUUUUACAGCGCUUUAACAUGUAAAUUCGAUUCGAGUGGACUUCCCCAUACACAGAACACACCAGUCCACCCACACACACCUUAAUUAAAUUUCUAAUUAUUGUAAUUAACCACAUUAAUAUGACCUCAUGCGCACCCCAAUUUGCCGCAACUCCAGGCGAAAACAAAAGCUCACAGCGACCGUAACCCAGAACGAAUCCGUAUCCGAAUCCGUAUCCGUAUCCGAAUCCCGAUCCUCCGAGUCUUGCGGGAUAUAAAAUUGUGUAGAAAAUUGUCGGUAAACACAUUUUUACAGUUUAUUCGGGGAGGAGGAGGAAGAAGCGUAUAUAUUUGUGGGCCGACUGGAUGUGGUUUUCGGACCCAGCCCCCGUCCAUUCCAUACUGCCCUUCUAUUAUAUGGCCAUAUAGCUGUGUUUAUAUGUAGGUGUGUGUAGAUGUGUGUAGGUGUGUGUGUGCGGCAGGAGACGAGGCGGCAACAAUGCUGUUCCAAUGCUUUUGGCCUUAAUGAGGUCAUGUGUGGCGACCACGACCACGACCACGACAACGACUAAGGACGACGGCAGUGGUGAUUAUGAUGGCAUGAAAUUAACAUUUAAUUUGAGUUGAAGCCACCUAGCGGGAAAUGGCUUUUGGCUAAUUUAUACCGCCGACGCGCACCGUCUCCAUUCUGAAUGUGCCAUCAUUAGAGGGGCAAAGUUUGCGGUUCUGCGGCCCACGCUGGAUUCCAUUGGACAAUGGCAUCUAAUUUAUGUUUGUCUUAGCAGAUGCUGUCCGCCAGCUCCGACUCCUUUCCAGUUCCUGUUCCAUUCCCAAUCCCAGUGCCCAAUCCCCACCAGCUUCGACACUCUGCUGCUGAAGGCAACAAGUUGGAUGUUCGGGGAAUCAGAAGGCGCAGGCGAACCAGUUAAAAACUUUUUCCUUUUGCCGCAAAAGUUUUCCUGUCUGCGUUUAAGCGCUGCGAAAAAUGAAAAGUUUACGGCUCAAAAACAAAUUUUUGUGCGGUGCCAAGCGAAAACUUUAUUCUCGGCUUAUCAAUGCUUUCGCAUUGAUCAGCUGAAUUUUAUUGAAAACAUGCGGCGAACGGAAGUGGAAAUGGAAACGCAGCUAACCUGUCGUUUUGCCACACUACCACUUGGUUAUUCAUCUCUAAAUAUUCGCUGCAUUAUUUAUUAAUGAGGCUAAGCAGCGUCUAACAUUUCAAAGCUUUCGCCUCGCCGGCGGAUAAAUGGAAACCGGAACCACAACACCGGGGGCAAAAGGAAAUAAUAGGAGCGGAAAAAGGCAAAAAUGUGAGCGCAUUAAAUAUUAAUUCCCAUUUCGUAACUGAUAAGAGCUGAAGUUGCUACUGCCAAAAGGAUGGCCAAAAGGUCAGCGGCGAAUAGGGCUUUCAAUUAGCCGCGCCAAAGAAGCAUUAUAAAUAGCGCAGAAAGGGUUAGCAAUUUUUGGGGAAAAGGCUUAGCGAGCGCAUAAAUCAGACAGGAUAGUUGGAAAUAUUAUAUUGGAGUUCGGGGUGGAAAAGUUCUAGUGCCCGUGAAAGUUGUUUAUUUAUGGAGGGAUACAUAAAUAUAUGUUUAUGCUGGAACUAAUUACAAAAAUCCAUAGUCCUUUCCCUAAGUAUGUACUCAUGUAUACAUAGAUUCCCUUUCAAGGAAGUAAAUAAAAUUGGACGUACCCAAAUAAAUUUCCAUUCGAUUUUUGGCCGGAUUUAUUGCCGCUUGUUGGUUCAUCCAAUUGAAAUGCCCAACACUUGUCUCUUGACCCUAAAAAACACUUCAUUUUCGGCUCCUUCUGCGCACUGAAAUCCGUAACGGACUGAAGUUAAUUUUUGGUUCGCUUAUCCUAUCAAAGUUGGUAGCCAAAAGAAAGGACAUACAAAUUCCGUGAACAAAAUGAAAUGUCAACAGUAAAUUUACCUUCGAGUUUUCCCUUUUUCCCCCUUGCUGUUGUUGUUGGCCUUUGAUUAUUUUCCUUUCUAAUGCGGCGAAAGCUCAUUUUUCUUAUUUUCAAACGAAAUUUCUCUUAAUGGGAUUUACAAAACGAAAUGUCUACACAGAUGCUUUGUGUGGGUCGUCUGCCGCAUUUUUUUAUAUUUUCUUAUUUUUUUCUUUGGGACACUUUUUUUUCGGGUCAUUGACGUAGUGUGUAAAAUGGCGCAUAAAUAUGUUGAAAAUGGACUUGAGAAUUUAUUUACAUAAAAAGGAUUUAGCAAAUAAGGCUGAGAAAGGGGACUCGGCCUUGGUGAUUUGUUGUUUGCUUAUUCGCUCCUUUUGUUAUUUUAAGCUGGUGAACGAUCCGAUUUUCCCGAGAACUUUGUUACCAGGUUACCCAGAUGAUGAUGGGUAAAAUGUUGAGGCAGUUUAUUGGAUUUAUUUUGUUAUACAAUGGUCAGUCAAUGAUCACAAGUUGAGUGAAAUACUUUGAUUUUGGAAUUUCGCACGUUUCGCUUAGCGAAAAAUGCAGGAGUUGAUUUUAGAGCGAAGAAAAAAGGCUGGGAAAUGAGGAAAAGCGAAGCCAAGUUGUUCGAACCGAGAAUGGGAAGUUGUCGCGCUCUAAGCAGCAAAUCCCUUCAUCCGAUUUAAGUAAAUGCAAACAAAAUAAGUAAAUAGCAAGAAGCAACACUUCGUCUCCAUUGCCUUGUAGCUUUUGUUGGCUCCAGCCCAGGAAAACGCGGGAAAAUGGGAGAAAGCUGGGGGAAACUGUAGUGGGAAAUGGGGAAAAAGGAGCUUAUGGAGGCCGCCGUGGAUCCGGCUCCAUCUCCGUGCACAUCUCAUCUUCCGCAGCACUUGGAUGAGAGCUUGUUAAAACUUUAAGUCCGUUUUACUUAACGUGGCUACAUUUUAGCUGACAGUUGUAACUGCUUCUGUUGCUUUGAUUUCAUGUCGGCCUUUUCCAUUCAACAGCUUUCUGCACUUGCCGUUGUCUCUUUGGGCCUUUAAGCUGUUAAUUUUUCGAGGCGCCGUGGAUGAAGCCCUUAACUAUUUAGCAUAUUAGCCUCAAGUUCCCUAUCAUCCCGCCACUGUCGUGUGUUUUGCCAUCGAUAACGCCUUUAAUUGACUGCCAUCAUUGUGGCCCCACCCCACUUCUCCCGCCCUCUUAAUCGUUCCUCGGUCUCGCCUUUUUCAUUUUUUUCACUUUUUUCCUUCUGGCAUGACAAGCCUUGUAAUUAGUCAUCUCGGUUUGAGCCACUUUUUGCUAUUGACACUUGGCCAAAAGCAACGAUGCCUUUUAAGUUCGCUGCUAUCGCGCUUGUGCUUUGCUUUUUAAUUGAAAGCAGAGUCCUUUGCGGAGUCUUGAUUAGGUUUAUUAAUGCGACAAGCUUCUUAUGAACGUGAACUCGAGCCCAGUUCGCAAAUGUUCCACUAAGUUGGGAAUAACGAGCGCACAUAGGAGGUAAACGAUGAAAUUGUUAGGUAACGACUGUAAUAAGCCAUUUAAAUUCCUCAUAAAACAUUGGUUUCGCUCUUUUCAAUUUAGAAAAAUAUUUCAAAUUUAAUGAGGCAAAUUAGUUGAAAUAUUUCACUAUUUCCCCCUCUUGAAAAAUUCACAAAUUCUAUUGCUUUCCGACACUUUAAAGAGGUAUUCCCUCUAAUAGCCAGGUUCUGGCAUUCAGUUAUGACGCAUACCUUUCACCUUUCACCCACCGAGUUGCAAGCCAAAAAUUCUAAACAUUGUUGGCACACGGAACUACGGACUCUUUAAAAUGGCUGCCUGGCGAAAGUCGAAACCAAUUCAUUCGUUCAGCCAUCUUUCGCAGAAUGUGCGCAUAUUUGCCUACCUCGGCAUAAUUUGAAAUUAGUGCACUCAAUGGCUAUGGUUUCUCUACUUUUCCUACAUUUUCGGCCUGCAUAUUUACAUAGGACGAUGGGUUUUAGGGAUUGAGGGGUCGUCGUAUAGUGAAAUCCUGCGCCUACCUCACCAGCUGCUUCAGCUAAAAAUGCAAAAGUGCUUACGCUGGCCAGCAAUUUCGUUGGGUUGUCGGUGGUGGUGCUGAAGGGUGGUGUUGGUGGUGUAGUGGUGGCUCGUCGUGGGUGGGUGAUGUUGGCUACCAAAAAAGCCAGCAUCAAUUUCUGCAACUGCAGCUCGGGAAAUGCCAGCAAAAACGGUGGAAAGACCAUGGCGGCCAUGGUCUAGCGCAGGGAAAUGCAACGAUGAGCGCCAUUUUGGGCUUCCUGGCUUUAAAGUUUCGCUGCAUAAGUUAAGGCGUUGGCACUGCUGGAAUAUGAAAAAUGUCCUCUAAUGCUUUGACAUUCCGCCACUUCUCGUUCUCCUCCGCCGCUUUUAGCCAAACCCCAACCACCCACUUCCCAGCGCGUUGUCUGUCCCGUGUCGCCAGCGAAAUGCCCCUGAAACGGCAAGGGCGUAAAAUUGCCGUAACAUGACAGCGAACAACUUGGCCAAAAGGUAACUCAAAACGCGCUGCAAACACGCACCCCCCAUCCACCCAUCCACCCAUCCACCUAGCAAGCCACGCCAUUUUGGCCAGAAUACCCGAGUACUCUGCUCCGCUUGUUAGCGCUGAGUUAGAGGACCACCACCCACAACUACCCCAAGCAUACUAUAUAUAUAUAGAGACAUAUAUAUGUAUAUCCGCCGUAUAUAUAUACUCCAAGAUGUAGAGCUUUAUCAGUGCGCUCUGGUAGAAAGUUUUCCGUAAUGUGUGGGAAAACUGCGCAAAAAAUAAUGCCGAAGGAAAGACAAAACUGUCAACUAUUCAAAUUUCUUUAGGUUCUUUUUUAUGAUUUUCUAAUGCCAAAAACACAUAUUUGACACGAUGUUUCAGAUGACUAGAGUAUUCUUUUCAAUCUCUUUUUAAGUUAGUUAUAAAUGAAGCCCCACAAUUGGAUUAAAGUCCGCCUUCAUGUUCGAUUUUCAAGGGUAAAUAUCUGUAAUAUUAAGCGCAAUUUAAUAAAUGUCCAACUGCCGUUCAAUAUUUUAUUAUAUUAUGCGUUUAUUAUUACACAAGCUGAAUGUUUCAUUAUUUUAUUAUAUUAAGAGUAUAAAUAAUUCAAAGCUUUCGUAGAUUACUACGCAUUUCUUGGAAUUUCCUGGAAUUUAAUUAAGUUUUUCAGCCUAACAUAAACUAUUUGCUACACAUCGUUUUAUGAAUUCAACUAAGAAAUUUCAUUUGACAUCAUCGAAUAGUUUGUAAUUCAAUUUCACAAAAUGUCUAAUUGUCAGGCAAUAUUUUGGGAAAAUUCCCAUCCCGAGUGUAUUGGAUAUUCGGCUUGCUGGCUUCUACAUAUGAGCAAAUAUUUUCCUUUUCCCGUGCGGCUUUCCUCCUUUAUUUUUCCCUCUUGUCUACAUUAUUUAUGCAUUUUACUCUCGGCUGCUGCCGCUGCUACUGGCUUUUAAUAGUUCUGCAUGUGUGCUGCGUGUGUUUACCACAUUGAAAAGUUUUCUUUGCAAAGUGCUUGGUACAUACAAGCGCGCAAAUAUGCCAAAAAAUAUGCUACACAAAAAUCGCUCAAGUGCAAAGUUUUAACAAUUGAAAACUUCGCUUGGCUGGCGCAUUGUGAAAAAAUACUUAAAAAAAAAAUAAAAAAAAAAAGCACAAAACUUAGACGCGCUGCUCCCCAAAGUAGUUAACUCAAAGUGUAUGGAGUGUCAAAGUGGAAGUUGAAGAUUGAGGUGAGAGAAAACUGCUUGAAGAUUUCGUCUGAAAUCGAGAGCAGACUUGGAAAUCAGUUAAAGUUUAACUGAAGGCCGGGAAAUCAUCAACAUCAUUAAUCAUAAUCAUUACAUUGCCAAUGUGAAUCUGCAUAAAAGCAGACAUUCUCCUUUCAUCCGUGCGAUAUUUUUAGCCUCUAGCAAAGUUGAUUUUUUAAAUUUCUGGCCAAACCCCAUCAAGUUUUAAGGUCCUGCCGUCGAGGAGAGCGAAGAAAAACGCAUAAAGGAAAGCGGAAUGAAGGAAAAUGCCACUAAAAACAAACUAUGCAAGCUUUUUUAUGUCCUCUGCAAGUGGCCAAGAAAGAGGUAAGUCCUUUAGUGAUUUCUUUACCCCGCAUUCCCCCCUGCCACUCGCUUCUUUGAGCCACCUUGCCAGAGCAAUGAGGUGUGAAGAUGAACUGUCGCAAUUGUCUAACGGCUUUGUUGUAGCUGCAGUUGAAUGCACAUAUACCCUCGACCAGGGGCGCAACCCAAAGGGGGUCGAUAAGCCCUCUCCUAACUGAUGUAGAUGGUUUUGUACCCGCUUUUGAAAUAAUCUUCUAAAGAAUUCGAGACUCAUAACAUUUAACAGCAUUUAAGCAGAUUACUUUGCGCAGUAACCAGUAAUUUAACUUGAUAGUUAUUAGAUUAAUGCACUCUUCUUGGUAUCCUUGUGAUAUUAAACAAUGAUUCCUCGGCUGAAACCUUUUAUGAUAUUAAUUUUCGACACAUUCCCGCGGGGAUUCCAAUACGGCGAAUAUGGUGAAUCCCCCUGGAAUGGAUAUACCCAAGCUACGCACCUGACAACAGGUGGACAGCAGGACAUCUUCUUGCCUUGACUGGGUGUAUUUUUGUGGCGCCCCUUGCCAACUUUUUUUUCGUCCUUUCUUCGUGUGACUGUGUGUGCGUAGAACAAAUAUCCCACUAAGGCGAAAGCAAAUCAAAUGUAAAACCCGGUGUAGGCGAGUGUCAGUCGGUGUGUGCUUUGUGGUUGCUCCCAUCCAUCCAUCCAUCCUGCAAUCCUACAAUCCUGCCCGCCAUCCAACUGUCCUGGCAUCCAAGACCAUCGCAGGAACACCCAUCUGAACCCCUGGCAUGCUCGACUUGACUACACCUUUUGUGGAAAUCCAACAAUGUCAACUAUGCAACACAAAAGCGACAAUGCUGUUGCUUUGUCUGACCGAAAGAGAACGAAAGUGUGGCAAGGUGGUUGUGGUGGUGGCGCCCUUGUUGCUGCCGCUUUUAUGUGCCACGCAAAAAUAGCUCACUUUUACCCCAACAUUGUCCGCUUUCUCUGCUUUUCGGUAUAAUUUGUUUUGGUCUUUCGUGCACACAAUUUGCAUUGGCGGCCCGAACGUCCCCCUUUUUAUUUACCCGUUUGCAGCUUAAAGCCACGCAGAAAUAAUGACAUUAAAAUGCACAUUACAUUAAACCAAAAAACGAAAAACUAAAAACACAGAACAGAAGGAAAACAAAAUUUUCUAGAUUUUCCAGCGCGUGCCGUUUUAACCCCUUGGCGUGUGCCCCAUAAAAAAGUCCAAGUUGAGGCAAGCCAAGCCCCGAAAAUGAAACGAACAACAUGCAAAUCAGCAGCCAGCAAACAGAGCCGGCAACAAUAACAGCCAUAACUACAACUACUUCAGUUUUACGAGCUCCAACCCCUCCCCGCAGGACCUCCACCCCCCAUUGACAAUUAUUAGACCGACCACGCCCCUUGUCGUGCUCAUAAAUUUUGUAAUUAUUCCCCUGCGUGCGGAAAGAAAGUCCAACGAAAAAAAAACACACAACACAAAAUUGAGGGAAACACACGCAUGUCUAGGCCAAAUACAGAAAAAAAGCGGAGAGAUGAGUUAAGAUUGCCACCGGAACGAUUGUUUGCCUAAAACUGUGCUGCAAAUUCUCUUUAAGGGCUGCUAGUCGCAAAUUUAAUUUAAUUAACUGGCUAUAGAAGGCUCCAUUUCCUUGGGGAAAGGUAGAGUUUAAGUGUUGUAUAAUUAAUAUCAAAUAAUUACUCUCUAUGUAAGAACCUUGCUGAGAAUGGAAAAUAAAAUCUAAUAUAAUAUGACACUUUUUCCAGCUUGAAUUUAUUUAAACAGUAAUGUUGCCUACCGUCAUUAUCAAUAUUUUAAAAUUAAAUGUAGAACUGCAAAUGACUGUAUUGAUCGAAUAUCGCCCCACAAAUUAUGCCUUGAAUAUUUCACUGCGUAAUCGAUUAAACUGCCUUGAAACGCUUAGUUAAAGUUUUCAAAAAAUACUAAUUAAAUUGCAACAAGGUCUACGGUCUUCCUCAGAAGCCAAGACAAAGUCGAAACAUGAGAGCGAACACACAAAAAAAUAGAAUGGUUUUAUAAAUUUAACUUAAAAGGCUUGCGAGUGACUCGGCACCGCAGUGCAGCCAUAAACAUUAAUUAAAAGUUUUGACCCUUUUUGCCAUUGCUCAGGGGCUCAUCAGCUGCAAUAUUCAUGCGCAGCCAGUGCACACUCACAACUACAAUAGAAUGCACUCAAAUUGUUGCUGUGGGAGCAAAGGAGCAUAGGAGAAAGCCAGGCGGAGAAAGCCCAGUUAGCCGGGCGAAAAAAGGGCCAAAAGCGCGGCCUCAGUGGCCUUAUUUGCACGUAGUGCUAACAAAAAUUACGAGUUAAGCACUUUUCUCCCAGGCCAAACACACACUCACUCACACACUCACACUCGUAGUCCUCAAUCUCCGCACACGCGGACUCCGCACUCACAUGACUCAUGAAUCAUUUAGCCCACACUCGGCCGGCCAAACUUUUAUUUUCGCCAUUUACAUGGGCAAAAUGUUCAGUUUUUCGCUGGCCGCUUUGCUUUCAUAAUUUCCUCUUUUUUUUUGCCAUUUUUUGCGGCUUGUCGAAAAUAUGACUGGGACAUAUGGGCAAACAAUUGUCAUCGUGUUGUGAGUGUAACUAUCUGAAUAAGUAUUCAUGGCCGUGGCUGCUGUGACACACUUUCCAGCGCCAUCCAGCCGAUGGAAAGCAGUGAAAACAAAUGGAAAAGCGUCAGAUUCGCCGAAAACACACAGAUUCACCACGGCCAGUCAACUGGCGGUUCAGCCAAGCAUUAAAUUAACAUUUUUUCUAAUUAAAGUGGCCAACGGAAGUGGUAAAAUACCACAAUUGUCACUGGGAUACUUGAAAGCGAGGAGCAAUGUAUUUUUAUAAAAUGUUACUUAAAGGAACUAAAAACGUACUAUACUCAGAGAAAAAUUCUUUCUCAACGAGCUCGAUUUCAG